UCUGGUCAAUAUUAUUGCGUUUCAGCCAAUGUUAUAUACGUGAUCUUUAGGGAAAGAUUGCAUUUUGCUUCUUGUUAGUUCUAAUAACUUUGUAGUUUGUAUGCUUGGCUGAUUAUAGAUAAGCUGUGCUAAUGUUGUUGGUGGGUUAGAAUGUUGAAAAAUGAGUUUCGGCCCUUCCAAGAUGUAAGUUAUGGCUCCAGCAGAUAAGAAUAUACCGUAAUUAGCCUGUCUUGAAUCUCUUUUAUCCUUUGCAGGGUCUUUUUUUUUUGUUUUCUUGGAACAUCUAGAAAUCAGAGGAGUAACACUGCAUCAUAAUUUAUGAAAAGCAUUUUAUUAAUUAGUAAAAUUGGAACUGAGGUGAUUAUAGGUUACUUCUGUAAUGGCUAUAUCCCAACUGAGAAACUCUAGGCUUCCGUUGAUGAAUCUAAUAAGAAUGAAUGGAGUACCUAUACUACAACAACUACAUCUUGAAGAAAAGCUGCUUCGUACUUCAUCUGAUAAUUGGUGUAUCAUUAAUGAUGGAACACUUGAUCCUACAGUUGUCAUGGGAAUAUCAGGGUGCAUGCAAUAUAUGUGCAUGAAUUAUGUCAAAAUAAAUACUUUUACCUCUCUACAGUGGCCAUGAUGCGCAAAAGGAAGGAGGGUUUUUUUGCGUCUAUUUAACAAUAAAGGAACGACCAAGAAUUUACAUAUAUGAUUCUAAUACCAUUCCAAGAUUGACCAAGAAAGUAUUGACCAUCUUGGCAUUAGUGUAGUUCUGAGCUCUUGUUAUGUGCUUUCUGACUUAAUGCUUGAAACAGAGCCUAGCUAGAUAUUCCUGAACUUACAAAUUAAUCAUUAGG